AUUGAACGCUGGCGGCAGGCCUAACACAUGCAAGUCGAGCGGAUGAAGGGAGCCUGCUCCUGGAUUCAGCGGCGGACGGGUGAGUAAUGCCUAGGAAUCUGCCUGGUAGUGGGGGAUAACGUCCGGAAACGGGCGCUAAUACCGCAUACGUCCUGAGGGAGAAAGUGGGGGAUCUUCGGACCUCACGCUAUCAGAUGAGCCUAGGUCGGAUUAGCUAGUUGGUGGGGUAAAGGCCUACCAAGGCGACGAUCCGUAACUGGUCUGAGAGGAUGAUCAGUCACACUGGAACUGAGACACGGUCCAGACUCCUACGGGAGGCAGCAGUGGGGAAUAUUGGACAAUGGGCGAAAGCCUGAUCCGGCCAUGCCGCGUGUGUGAAGAAGGUCUUCGGAUUGUAAAGCACUUUAAGUUGGGAGGAAGGGCAGUAAGUUAAUACCUUGCUGUUUUGACGUUACCAACAGAAUAAGCACCGGCUAACUUCGUG
rnacentral:rRNA from 1 species